CCUGGCUCAGAUUGAACGCUGGCGGCAUGCCUUACACAUGCAAGUCGAACGGCAGCACGGGAGCAAUCCUGGUGGCGAGUGGCGAACGGGUGAGUAAUAUAUCGGAACGUGCCCAGUCUGGGGGAUAACGUAGCGAAAGCUACGCUAAUACCGCAUACGAUCUAUGGAUGAAAGCGGGGGAUCGCAAGACCUCGCGCGAUUGGAGCGGCCGAUAUCAGAUUAGGUAGUUGGUGGGGUAAAAGCCUACCAAGCCUUCGAUCUGUAGCUGGUCUGAGAGGACGACCAGCCACACUGGAACUGAGACACGGUCCAGACUCCUACGGGAGGCAGCAGUGGGGAAUUUUGGACAAUGGGCGCAAGCCUGAUCCAGCAAUGCCGCGUGCAGGAUGAAGGCCUUCGGGUUGUAAACUGCUUUUGUACGGAACGAAACGGUUCUCUCUAAUACAGGGGGCUAAUGACGGUACCGUAAGAAUAAGCACCGGCUAACUACGUG
rnacentral:rRNA from 1 species